rnacentral:rRNA from 1 species
GACGAACGCUGGCGGCGUGCCUAAUACAUGCAAGUAGAACGCUGAAGUGAGGAGCUUUCUCUUCUGGGAUGAGUUGCGAACGGGUGAGUAACGCGUAGGUAACCUGCCUUGUAGCGGGUGAUAACUAUUGGAAACGAUAUCUAAUACCGCAUAACAAUUGAUGACACAUUUCAUUUAUUUUAAAGUGGCAAUUUCUCCACUACAAGAUGGACCUGCGUUGUAUUAGCUAGUAGGUGAGGUAAUGGCUCACCUAGGCGACGAUACAUAGCCGACCUGAGAGGGGGCUAGGCCACACUGGGCUUGGGACACGGCCAAGAAUACUACGGGAGGGAGCCGUAGGGAAUCUGUGGCAAUGGGGGCAAUCCUGAACGAGGAACGACGCGCGAGAGAAGAAGGCUGUAGGAUCGUAAAGCUCUGUUGUAAGUCAAGAACGGGAGUCAGAGUGGAAAGUUAACAAUGUGACGGUAGCUUAACAGAAAGGGACGGCUAACUACGUG